rnacentral:tRNA from 1 species
GCUUGAAUAGCUCAGUUGGUAGAGCAAUCGGCUGUUAACCGAUCAGUCGUAGGUUCGAGUCCUACUUCAAGCGCCA